CAGCAGCCACGGUAAUACGUAGGGUGCAAGCGUUGUCCGGAAUCAUUGGGCGUAAAGCGCGCGUAGGUGGCCAUUUAAGUCCGCUGUGAAAGUCAAAGGCUCAACCUUUGAAAGCCGGUGGAUACUGGAUGGCUAGAGUACGGAAGAGGCGAGUGGAAUUCCUGGUGUAGCGGUGGAAUGCGCAGAUAUCAGGAGGAACACCAAUAGCGAAGGCAGCUCGCUGGGACGUUACUGACACUGAGGCGCGAAAGCGUGGGGAGCGAACAGGAUUAGAUACCCCGGUAGUCCCUGUCUCUUAUAC
rnacentral:rRNA from 1 species